UGGGGAUUGUGCUAGUGGUGGCUGCUUGCUUUGUUUCUUGGGAGCUCCCCCAGCCUAGGAUCAGACAGAGAGCCUGAGCUCUGGGGCCUAGAACCCCAGUUCCCACUUGAACUAUGAGGCUGGUGACAGGAAUGGCUGUUCUCCUAACUUUGGGUAUCACGGGUGAUGCUAAAACCACACAGCCAAAUUCAAUGGAGAGUACUGAAGGAAAACGUGUAAACUUGCUUUGUAACCACUCCACAAUCAGUGGGAAUGAGUAUAUAUAUUGGUAUCGACAGAUUCCCCAUCAGGGUCCACAGUACGUGAUUCAUGGCAUAAAUAACAACGUGACCAAUGAAAUGGCCUCUCUGACCAUCCCUACUGGCAGAAAGACCAGUACCCUGAUCCUGCCCCACGUUACUCUGAGAGACACAGCUGUGUACUACUGCAUGGUGAGAGACACACAGUGGCUCUGAUGGGGCUACACCUGUGCAGUAUCUUCCU